rnacentral:rRNA from 1 species
GACGAACGCCGGCGGCGUGCCUAAUACAUGCAAGUAGAACGCUGAAGGAGGAGCUUGCUUCUCUGGAUGAGUUGCGAACGGGUGAGUAACGCGUAGGUAACCUGCCUGGUAGCGGGGGAUAACUAUUGGAAACGAUAGCUAAUACCGCAUAAUAGUAGAUGUUGCAUGACAUUUGCUUAAAAGGUGCAAUUGCAUCACUACCAGAUGGACCUGCGUUGUAUUAGCUAGUUGGUGGGGUAACGGCUCACCAAGGCGACGAUACAUAGCCGACCUGAGAGGGUGAUCGGCCACACUGGGACUGAGACACGGCCCAGACUCCUACGGGAGGCAGCAGUAGGGAAUCUUCGGCAAUGGACGGAAGUCUGACCGAGCAACGCCGCGUGAGUGAAGAAGGUUGUCGGAUCGUAAAGCUCUGUUGUAAGAGAAGAACGAGUGUGAGAGUGGAAAGUUCACACUGUGACGGUAUCUUACCAGAAAGGGACGGCUAACUACGUG